AUGAACGCUGGCGGCGUGCCUAAUACAUGCACGUCGAGCGAACGGACGAGAAGCUUGCUUCUCUGAUGUUAGCGGCGGACGGGUGAGUAACACGUGGAUAACCUACCUAUAAGACUGGGAUAACUUCGGGAAACCGGAGCUAAUACCGGAUAAUAUUUUGAACCGCAUGGUUCAAAAGUGAAAGACGGUCUUGCUGUCACUUAUAGAUGGAUCCGCGCUGCAUUAGCUAGUUGGUAAGGUAACGGCUUACCAAGGCAACGAUGCAUAGCCGACCUGAGAGGGUGAUCGGCCACACUGGAACUGAGACACGGUCCAGACUCCUAUGGGAGGCAGCAGUAGGGAAUCUUCCGCAAUGGGCGAAAGCCUGACGGAGCAACGCCGCGUGAGUGAUGAAGGUCUUCGGAUCGUAAAACUCUGUUAUUAGGGAAGAACAUAUGUGUAAGUAACUGUGCACAUCUUGACGGUACCUAAUCAGAAAGCCACGGCUAACUACGUG
rnacentral:rRNA from 1 species